rnacentral:rRNA from 1 species
UAAUGCUCCAUAGUGGAUAUGUCCUGGAAUGGUAUAUCCUCGAAAGAUCCGUCGCCUUAGGAUGGGACUGCGUCCGAUUAGGUUGUUGGCGGGGUAACGGCCCACCAAGCCAUUGAUCGGUACGGGUUGUGGGAGCAAGAUCCCGGAGAUGGAUUCUGAGACAUGAAUCCAGGCCCUACGGGGCGCAGCAGGCGCGCAGACUUUACAAUGCGAGCAAUCGUGAUAAGGAAACCCUGAGUGCCUGUCGAUGCAGGCUGUUCAUAUAUCUAAAUCAUAUGUGAAGAAAGGGCAGGGCAAGACCGGUGCCAGCCGCCGCGGUAAUACCGGCUGCUCGAGUGAUGGCCACUAUUACUGGGUUUAAAGCGUCCGUAGCUUGACUGUUAGGUCUCUUGGGAAAUCUUCACGCUCAACGUGAAGGCGUCUAAGAGAUACCGGCAGUCUUGGAACUGGGAGAGGUAAACCGUACUUCGGGGGUAGGAGUGAAAUCUUGUAAUCCUCGAGGGACGACCUAUGGCGAAGGCAGUUUACCAGAACAGCUUCGACAGUGAGGGACGAAAGCUGGGGGAGCAAACGGGAUUAGAUACCCCGGUAGUCCCAGCCGUAAACAAUGUGCGUUAGGUGU